AGUAAUGUAUGGGGAUCUGCCUGAUGGCGGGGGAUAACUACUGGAAACGGUAGCUAAUACCGCAUAAUGUCUGCGGACCAAAGCGGGGGACCUCCGGGCCUCGCGCCAUCAGAUGAACCCAUAUGGGAUUAGCUAGUAGGUAAGGUAACGGCUUACCUAGGCGACGAUCUCUAGCUGGUCUGAGAGGAUGAUCAGCCACACUGGGACUGAGACACGGCCCAG
rnacentral:rRNA from 1 species